rnacentral:rRNA from 1 species
CGUAGGGUGCAGGCGUUAAUCGGAAUUACUGGGCGUAAAGCGUGCGCAGGCGGUUUCUUAAGUCAGAUGUGAAAGCCCCGGGCUUAACCUGGGAACUGCGUUUGAAACUGGGAGACUCGAGUGUGGCAGAGGGGGGUGGAAUUCCACGUGUAGCAGUGAAAUGCGUAGAUAUGUGGAGGAACACCGAUGGCGAAGGCAGCCCCCUGGGUUAACACUGACGCUCAUGCACGAAAGCGUGGGGAGCAAACAGGAUUAGAUACCCUGGUAGUCCACGCCCUAAACUAUGUCAACUGGUUGUCGGGGGAUGAACUCCCUUGGUAACGAAGCUAACGCGUGAAGUUGACCGCCUGGGGAGUACGGUCGCAAGAUUA